CCCCUGGUGGCCUGCUGGUUAGGGCUCGGGACUUCCACUGCCAUGGCCCAGGUUCAGUCCCUGGUCAGGGAA
rnacentral:tRNA from 1 species